GAUGAACGCUGGCGGCGUGCCUCAAGCAUGCAAGUCGAGCGGGGCUAUGUAAUAUCGCAAGGUAGAACAUAGCCUAGCGGCGAACGGGUGAGUAACACGUGGGUAACCUGCCUGGAAGACAGGGAUAACGAUUCGAAAGGGUCGCUAAUACCUGAUAAUAUCCUUUCAUCGCAUGGUGAUAGGAAGAAAGGGGAAACCCGCUUUCAGAUGGGCCCGCGUCCCAUCAGCUAGUUGGUAAGGUAAAGGCUUACCAAGGCGACGACGGGUAGCCGGUCUGAGAGGAUGUACGGCCACACUGGGACUGAGAUACGGCCCAGACUCCUACGGGAGGCAGCAGUUGGGAAUCUUAGGCAAUGGACGAAAGUCUGACCUAGCGACGCCGCGUGAGGGAAGAAGGCCUUCGGGUUGUAAACCUCUGUCAUGGGGGAAGAAGGAAGUGACGGUACCCCAAGAGGAAGCCCCUGCUAACUACGUG
rnacentral:rRNA from 1 species